rnacentral:rRNA from 1 species
AGGUAACCCGUUAAGCAAGCCGCCUGGAAAGUACGGCCGCAAGGCUGAAAUUCAAAGGAAUUGGCGGGGAGGCACACAACCAGUGGAACAUGUGGUUCAAUUCGAAACAAACCGAAGAACCUCACCAGGGUUUGACAUGUAGCUGCAAAUCUUAGGAAACUAAGACUCUUUCGAAGGUGCUACACAGGUGCUGCAUGGCUGUCGUCAGCUCGUUCCGUGAGGAGUGCCCUUAAGUGGGACAACGAGCGCAACCCCUAUUACAUGUUAGAAAUGUCAUGUAAGACUGCCUUGCCAUUUGGCGGGGAGGAAGGAGGGGCAGACGUCAAGUCCGCAUGGUCCUUAUACCCUGGGCUACACACAUGUUACAAUGAGUACGGCAAUGAGUUUGUCGCUAGCACGUAAGUGUAAGCUAAUCUCUUAAAUGUACUCUCAGUGGGGAUUGAGGUCUGCAACUCGACCUCAUGAACACGGAAUUGGUAGUAAUCGCGGGUCAGCUAUACCGCGGUGAUACGUUCUUGCCUCUUGCACACACCGCCCGUCAAACCAGCAAAGUCGAUUGUAUCCGACCUCUCU